GUGCUCGCUUCGGCAGCACAUACACAGAAUUGGAAUGAUACGGAGAAGACGAGCAUGGCCCCUGCGCAAGGAUGACACGCAAAUUCGUGAAGUGAUCCAUAGUUUU
ensembl:snRNA U6 U6 spliceosomal RNA